AUUUUACACCCCAACACCCACCAAUCCUCGCCCUCUGGCAUUUGCUCAAAUUUUUUAACCAGCUUCUGAUUACAUAGGUAACCAGUUCAAUUCAUAGUUGAAGACUAACAUUAAAAGACAAAA
rnacentral:misc_RNA from 1 species